rnacentral:rRNA from 1 species
UACGAAGGGGGCUAGCGUUGCUCGGAAUGACUGGGCGUAAAGGGCGCGUAGGCGGUUUGGACAGUCAGAUGUGAAAUUCCUGGGCUCAACCUGGGGGCUGCAUUUGAUACGUUCGGACUAGAGUGGGGAAGAGGGUCGUGGAAUUCCCAGUGUAGAGGUGAAAUUCGUAGAUAUUGGGAAGAACACCGGUGGCGAAGGCGGCGACCUGGUCCUUGACUGACGCUGAGGCGCGACAGCGUGGGGAGCAAACAGG